ensembl:lncRNA
GGAGUAUUAAAGCCAGAUUGUAAUUUAUUAAAAAAAACAACAAAAAAGGACAGGAGUUCUGUAAUUUUCCAGUCCCAUGAUAGGUCUUUCGUAUGUCUAGUACAUAAUGUUGGAUAAAUCACGAGGCAUCAAGUUACUUUAUGUCCCCUUUGAACAGGAAUAAUAAUACUUACCUAAGUCCCAUUCAUGGUGCCAUGUUCUCUUGUCCAUCCACUUCCCAAGAAAACAGGGGCAGGCUUUGCAUUGACUUUACUGUUUAUUAGAUCAGCCCUUUAACUCAUCAUUUUAACUUAUGUAAAGGAUUAUGGCCUCAGAGGAAAGAGACAGUGAAUGUCUAUGAAAUAGAUAUGACAAUAACCGGCAAAUACAUCUUUAUGGUUAUAAAAUACUCCCACUCCUUCUUUAUCCCAACAGCUUGGUCACUUCUUUUGUUUGCUGCAACAGUGGACCUCAUAACAUCACAAUCUGUUGCCAUGGAAAUGGCUGUGAUUUUGCAAAUUCAGUUUUAUGUCUUCACGGUGAUAUCAGAUAGAAGAAAAAAGAACUGGGCAAUAGGGAAAAAAAACUUGUUUGAAGACAAAAGGCCAAAUCGAUUCUAAAUUCAGGCCUCAAAUCUUGAACUUCAGUGGGAUGAUUCCUCAUACGCUCCAUGUAGUUGCCAUCUAAUGUUGGAGGUGUGUAUAUCCCAAAUGCCUGAAGUUCUGCCUGAAGUUCAGCCUCUGCAUUAUGGUGAAUCACAGACAUGACAAGCUAAGGAUUCCCAACAAAGUAAGCUGUCGAGGCCACCUGAAGAGGGAUAAUGAAAGUGAUUACAUCAGCAAAGAGGAAGGAACAAUCCAGAUGGCAGCAGCACCACAAAAUACAGAGAAACGAGAUUCAUUAUAUUCAUGCUAAAUUCAAAUAUCCAUCCUGUACAAGUUUGUGGAGAUUAAAGUUGGAGAGGAUGAAAUGCAUAUUUCCUGUAGGCAUUUUUGCACUACAAAAGAAGAAGGAGAAGAAACUAACAAACAACAAUUGUGAAAUAUCAGGUACCAUUAGAGAUGCAUCACUUGUGAACCAGGUUCACAGACAAAGCCGUUCUACCGGUGGGAUGAAAAAGCACAGUGAAAGAAAGGGCGUUGCAUCCUUCACCUGGGUAACAUCUCUGUUCUUUCUCUGCUUUGAAUAGAUUCUUUAAAGGCUUGGACAACUCUUGAUGGUAGACAUCCCAUUAGCUGGUGCCAGCUAAUGUUGCUGAUGGGAUGAGGGCAAGGACUGCUGCUGCCUUCUCCAUAGUAAUAUCCAUAUAGUAAUAGUAGUAGUGUUAUUUUCUACCCACCAUUUAAUUUGCCAGUUGAAUAGCAGCUACAUACUGCAAGAGGCUAAUCGGCUUAUUGUUUUGUCUGUUUCCUGUUUUAUUGCACUAACUUUUUGAAUAUUUUUUUAGAGGGAAGUUCCUGUGCCCGAGACUAUAACAUACUUGUAUACUGCCUGACCUCCUGUUUAGUUUUACGUAGAAAGGACUGAAGACAUGUUCUGGAAAGUAUCUUGAAGUGGAGUAAUGCAGGAAGAGAGUUGAUACAAGAAGGCUAUAAAAUGUAUGUUUUCUUUUGAGAGCAAAAAAUGCAUUAAGACAUAAACAUUUGCUGUGCAUGAGUGCCCAGCUCUCUGAUACAAUGCCACUUCAUUGAAGUGGUCCUCUCAGCCUGUGAGGAACUGUCGUUAGCCAGAGAGACAUAAAUUACUCCUUGCUUUGUGAACUACUAUAAUGAUCAAGCAUAGAGGUGUCCUAAUGUACUGAAAUGAGACAAUGACUGAAGAUGUUGAAAAGCACUUACUGAGAUUGUCACAGAAGCCUUGCAGCACAAGCUGGCUUCUUUGAAGUUUUCUCCAGCAGUGUUGGAAAACUUUUUUUUUUUUUUUCCUUAUGCUUUGCAGAUCAUUCCUGUGGGCUCAAACAUAGAGGUACCCCCAUUCGCAGUCUUACCCUGUAGGCUAAACUGGUUAGUCAUAAAUCCUAAAGAAAGUGAUUCACCAGCACUUUGAUUGGCCUCCAAUGGACAUUCUCUAAGCUUGUUGCUCUGGAAAUAUUGCUAACAGCAGGGCAAUUCUCCAACUAAUAUUUGAUUAAUAAAAAGAUCUUUGCUUAAUAGAAUGUGGAGGUU